ACGGGAGGCAGCAGUGGGGAAUAUUGCACAAUGGGCGAAAGCCUGAUGCAGCGACGCCGCGUGAGUGAAGAAGUAUCUCGGUAUGUAAAGCUCUAUCAGCAGGGAAGAAAAUGACGGUACUUGACUAAGAAGCUCCGGCUAAAUACGUGCCAGCAGCCGCGGUAAUACGUAUGGAGCAAGCGUUAUCCGGAUUUACUGGGUGUAAAGGGAGCGUAGACGGCAAAGCAAGUCUGAAGUGAAAUCCCGGGGCUCAACCCCGGAACUGCUUUGGAAACUGUUUAGCUAGAGUGCAGGAGAGGUAAGCGGAAUUCCUAGUGUAGCGGUGAAAUGCGUAGAUAUUAGGAGGAACACCAGUGGCGAAGGCGGCUUACUGGACUGUAACUGACGUUGAGGCUCGAAAGCGUGGGGAGCAAACAGGAUUAGAUACCCUGGUA
rnacentral:rRNA from 1 species